GGGUCGUGGGUUCGAGCCCCACCCGCCCCACCAGAGGAGUCAUCAUCCUUGGGUCGUGGGUUCGAGCCCCACCCGCCCCACCA
rnacentral:tRNA from 1 species